GAUGAACGCUGGCGGCGUGCCUAAUACAUGCAAGUCGAGCGAACAGACGAGGAGCUUGCUCCUCUGACGUUAGCGGCGGACGGGUGAGUAACACGUGGAUAACCUACCUAUAAGACUGGGAUAACUUCGGGAAACCGGAGCUAAUACCGGAUAAUAUAUUGAACCGCAUGGUUCAAUAGUGAAAGACGGUUUUGCUGUCACUUAUAGAUGGAUCCGCGCCGCAUUAGCUAGUUGGUAAGGUAACGGCUUACCAAGGCAACGAUGCGUAGCCGACCUGAGAGGGUGAUCGGCCACCCUGGAACUGGGACACGGUCCAGGCUCCUAAGGGAGGCAGCAGUAGGGAAUCUUCCGCAAUGGGCGAAAGCCUGACGGAGCAACGCCGCGUGAGUGAUGAAGGUCUUCGGAUCGUAAAACUCUGUUAUUAGGGAAGAACAAAUGUGUAAGUAACUAUGCACGGCUUGACGGUACCUAAUCAGAAAGCCACGGCUAACUACGUG
rnacentral:rRNA from 1 species